CAAGGCUUCUCCUUCCUCAAUUCACUUCUCUCUCCGAGCUCCUGAAGACUCCUCCGAUCGGAUCUCCCAGCCGAGGUUCCUUCAAGUCCUCCAGGAUGAGCUACCAGAAUCAGCAGGGCA